GCUCUUUGGUGAGGAGGCUCUGGAAUGAGUGUUGGGCUCACGGCAUGGGCAGGAUUGCAGACUCUCCCUGCCUUGUUUGAGAACAGC
ensembl:snoRNA small nucleolar RNA, C/D box 83A